GCAGAACAGAGACCAGAAAACCUUUAUGCAGCAAUAAUAGAAGCGUAUAGUCAUGAGAACGACACCGUGAUCGAUGCUUGCUCUGGGACAGGUACGGGGAUAACAGCGGCUAUGAGAUUGAAGAGAAAUUGUGUUGCAGUAGAAAACGAUAUAAAGCAGGUCGAAGCCAUCAAGAGGAGACUAAUACGCCUACAGUGUAACUUGUAAAUGCUGUUUUGGGAAAAAAUUGUAGUCACGCUAAUUUUGCCUAUUUGGAACCCAUUUUUAACAUUAAACAGAAAAAAACUUUGAUAUAUGUUUAACAGUGAUUUUGUAUAUAAAAAGUUGUAUAUAAAUAGUUUACUGUAAUUUCAUGUUUUUGUGUAUGUCGCUCAUUGUGUAAAUAGUGCAUAAAAGUAGUCCUUUUUAAACGUUUGCAAACAAAAAUAUCUCUGUCUUAUGAAGGUUAUACUUGGACUAGUAAUGCAUUGCAUU